rnacentral:misc_RNA from 1 species
GAUGAAGAACGUAGCAAAAUGCGAUAAGUAAUGUGAAUUGCAGAAUUCAGUGAAUCAUCGAAUCUUUGAACGCACAUUGCGCCCGCCAGUAUUCUGGCGGGCAUGCCUGUUCGAGCGUCAUUUCAACCCUCAAGCCCUCGGGUUUGGUGUUGGGGAUCGGCGAGCCUUUCUGGCAAGCCGGCCCCGAAAUCUAGUGGCGGUCUCGCUGCAGCCUCCAUUGCGUAGUAGUAAAACCCUCGCAACUGGAACGCGGCGCGGCCAAGCCGUUAAACCCCCAACUUCUGAAUGUUGACCUCGGAUCAGGUAGGAAUACCCGCUGAACUUAAGAAUAUCAAUAAGCGGAGGA